UACGUAGGGGGCAAGCGUUGUCCGGAAUGACUGGGCGUAAAGGGUGCGUAGGCGGUCGGAUAAGUUAGAGGUGAAAUCCCGAGGCUCAACUUCGGAAUUGCCUCUGAUACUGUUCGGCUAGAGAGUAGUUGCGGUAGGCGGAAUGUAUGGUGUAGCGGUGAAAUGCUUAGAGAUCAUACAGAACACCGAUUGCGAAGGCAGCAUACCGGCGCCCUACUGACGCUGAGGCACGAAAGUGCGGGUAUCGAACAGG
rnacentral:rRNA from 1 species